GCUGGAUAUGGAGGCACAUUCCUUUAAUCUCUGAAACUAGGAAGGCGAGACUGGAGGAUCUUUUGAAUAUGGGAGUUCUGAGCUGCAGUGGACUAAGUCAUUGGGUGUUUGCACUAAUUCAAGCACCAUAAUGGUAAGCCCCCAGAGUGUGGGGCCACCAGGAUGCCUAAAAAGGGGCAAAAUGGCCCAGGUUGGAAAUGGAGCAGGUCAAAGCCCCCAUGUUUAUCAGUAUUAGGUUCAGGCUAAUGAGUGUCUGCUGUGCUUCUAGGAUCUGUGAGAUAGGCAGACA
rnacentral:SRP_RNA from 1 species